rnacentral:lncRNA from 1 species
UCAGUUUCAUUUUAUUCGUGAACAGGUAGCGGUGAAGAAAGUGGAACUCGUCUACUGUGCUACCACGGAGAUGGUGGCAGAUAUAUUCACGAAGGCACUUCCACCAGCAGUGUUCUUGCGACAUGUACAAGCUCUGGGCGUGAAGAAACGAAGUAUUGCGAGCUCAACUUGAGUGGGAGUAUUGAGGGAAUAUUCGUGAUUCUGCUUAGGUCAAGUUGACCCGUCGUGUCUGUUCAUUCUCU